rnacentral:rRNA from 1 species
GUAGGGAAUCUUCGGCAAUGGGGGGCAACCCUGACCGAGCAACGCCGCGUGAGUGAAGAAGGUUUUCGGAUCGUAAAGCUCUGUUGUAAGAGAAGAACGUGUGUGAGAGUGGAAAGUUCACACAGUGACGGUAACUUACCAGAAAGGGACGGCUAACUACGUGCCAA